UGCCAGCAGCCGCGGUAAUACGGAGGGGGUUAGCGUUGUUCGGAAUUACUGGGCGUAAAGCGCACGUAGGCGGAUUAGUAAGUUAGGGGUGAAAUCCCGGGGCUCAACCCCGGAAGUGCAUUGGAUACUGGCAGUCUUGAGUAUGGGAGAGGAAAGUGGAAUUCCGAGUGUAGGAGUGAAAUCCGUAGAUAUUCGGAGGAACACCAGUGGCGAAGGCGGCUCACUGGCUCGAUACUGACGCUGAGGUGCGAAAGCGUGGGUAGCAAACAGGAUUAGAUA
rnacentral:rRNA from 1 species